AAUUUACCACCAAAUUUUUAUUCUUUUCAUAAUAACUCAAAAUUCUUUCAAUAGCAGGUGGAAGGAAGAUACACUGCACUGGAUCAUCCAAAUGAACUCCAGGAAUGUGGGGAUCCUAAAAGUGAUGCUCAAGUUUUUGUACCAUGAUCAAGAAAUGAAGGGCAAGGAGACUCCUCAUUGUUUAACUGGACACCUUGGAAGCCACCACACUAAUUCUGCUGUGAAGGAAGAAAAAGCCAAGAUACUGGGGUUGUUCGUCUUCUGAGACUCAUCCUCUGUUGCCCAGCUUGGACUCUUCACAUGGAGGCUGACAGGGCUCAGCACCCGGCAGCCAUCAGGAUUUGCC
rnacentral:lncRNA from 1 species